rnacentral:rRNA from 1 species
AUUGAACGCUGGCGGCGUGCUUAACACAUGCAAGUCGAUCGGUAACAGGUGUAGCAAUACAUGCUGACGAGAGGCGGACGGGUGAGUAAUGCUUGGGAAUCUGCCUAUUAGUGGGGGACAACCCGGGAAACUCGGGCUAAUACCGCAUACGCUCUACGGAGGAAAGCCGGGGACCGCAAGGCCUGGCGCUAAUAGGAUGAGCCCAAGUCGGAUUAGCUAGUUGGUAGGGAACGGCCUACCAAGGCGACAAUCCGUAGCUGGUCUGAGAGGAC